CGUCCGCCAUUCUACCAUAGUAAGUCGUCCGCGCGCCACCACUUUGUAUCACUUCGCACUUUCCGUAGGGUUAGAAAUCCCUCUCUUUCCCACUCCGCACCAACCCCAUAAAACCCUCUCGCUUCCACAACCCUUCUUUUUAUAUUUUUACAAUAUUUUUUUCUUAAAAUCCGCUGUAAUCUUACUUAUUUCCGCGAUGAACUCUGAAGAGUUUAUUUCAAAUAUCUGAAGCCCUUAUCAGGGCCGUCAUCCAUUACUAUCGGUCGUGUAGUUUUAUCUAAAUACAGUGCUAAAUAUUAGUUUGUGGUGGGCUGUGCGCGCGCGUCAAUUUUAGGCCUAAAUCGCCCGCGGUGCGUCGGUCGCGCGAAAUUUUUGCACAAAUCCAAGCCAAAAAAUUCCAAUAAGAUUCUUAUAGGCCUAUUUAGAAGACUGUUGAUUUCCCCCCAGUGGACCUUAAAGUUUCAGUAGAAAACGGAUUUCCGUCAAAAGUCGGUGUAAAACAUUAUUUCCUAAACGAUUUUGUGAAGUGACUGUGAAAGGACCGAAAUGACUUUCAAAAAGUGCUCUGGAAUUUUCUGUGUAUGGAUUUUUCGGGAUGUUUUCAUCAAAAUGGUUUUAUACGGACCUCAGGGAGCAGGUUGGAUUGCUUAUAGAAACUCCUGUUAACUAAAUAAUUGAAUUAGAAGGAAGAGCUAAAUUGAAAUGACAAACGGCUUAAAUAUCAUCUAGUUCAUUUCUUAGCAGGGUGUUCCAGACGAAAAGGGAUGAGAAAGUUCUGUAAUAGACAACAGCAAUGAUAUAUUUUUCUAAAUGUCUCAUUAACUAAUGAAAAGAGUUGUUAAUAUGCCAUGACUUUAACUCUAAUCAAUAAAACAGAACAAAUGGUUAAGCGAGCUGGAACUGAAUAAGGGAACCAAUCAAACCGAGAAAGAAUUUAGAAAAUUUCAAUAAACCACCAGCCUAGUAACUGAAAUCAUCAUCAACAGCCAUUUAAAUGCUGAGACACAGGCCUUCCUUAUGGAUGGAUAAGGAAGUAUAGUCUACCCACCACGAGUUCCUAUUGCGGAUUGGCGGGUUUUAACGAUUGCAAAUAUAACCGGGACCGACAGCUUUAUACCGAUACGAAUACGGAGGAUGCCAUGAUCCACCACGCGGGCUCACUGCGUCUUCGAACUUAGAAGAUUAAAGAAUAGAUAUAUUGCAGAAAUAGAAGCCAAUUUCCAAAGAGGAUGUGCGUGCUUAUUGUCUGAAAGUGUUGCCCAUGGCCGAACUAAGUGGCGAAGAAACAAUUAAUAAUGCGAACCCUGGGAUCCUACGCUUAACGGCUGAGGAAGAACCGGGUAAACACUUAGAUGUGAUAGAUAGAAGCUGAUUGUUGAAGACCAUGUGAAGUGGAGUAGAAACAGUUGGAAAUCAGACCGUGGGCUCCCACGCUUUUUGCCUGAGGUUGCAACCAGAAGGCCUACCAAGAAACAUGAAAACACGUACCACGUUACUAACGUCCACGGGCUGUCUCUUUGGUAUUGCGUACGCAUCGUUUAAAGAAAAGAGAUAACAUGUGGAUAGCAAAUACGUGCUACGUGUUUUAUGUUUCAUGGAAGCCCGGUAAAGUAUGAAACGAGUUCCUUUACACCUAGGUUUUUAAUGGCACGAAUUUCAUCAUCAAGCAUUAGUUAUCUUUGGUUUUUUUAACAAAAAUUAUCGACCCACUAAAAUUUUCUACAGAAAAGCGGAUACUGGUAACUUUACGGGGCUGAGGAAAAAAACCUAAAUCGCUUAGAUGAGAAAGAUUCAGAUUCAGUUCAAAAGACAAACACAGAGACGGAAAGUAAUGCUGGGAUGAAAAGGAAUUAUACAUAUUUGUUGGAAAAGAAAAUUUAAAUAAAUCAAUGAUAUGGCAUUAACAAGCCCACGCCAAGAAGAGAAUGCUUCGCGGUCCUCCAACCAAUCAUUUUGGAAAUGCUUUGAAACAAAUUUGUCUAGCAAUAGAUGACGAAGAAAAUGUUUUGAGAUGGAUAUUAAUAUUUAAGGGAACACAGAACAUAAUAUAAUAUGCAAUAGACCUGAAAAUAAUAUGACUGUUAGAUUGUAAACGCUCAGAACAGAGAUUGGUGUAGAUGGAACUUUAAUCAUAUUAGAUGCUUUUGGUGACUUGAUUACAGUGGGAGAUAAUGACACGAUACUAAAGAACCCUGCGGGGGGAUGAUAAAUGAACAUAUAGGGACAAACUACAUGGAUAUAUUUGCCCCAAAAUAAUAUAUACAUUUAUAGAUAAACAUUGAAGACCCAAUACUAUAUUAUUAUAUACACAUACAUUUAUAGAUAAACACCCAAGAGCCAGGUCAAUCUGAAAGAAAUCAUUGUCGAUCAAGCUGGCCGAGGUCGAACCCGGGACCACCAGUGUGGCAGUCCGGCAUGAUGUGGUCCCGGGUUCGACCCCGGCCACGAAAGUCACGUCGGUCGGAUGAUGAAAGUGAGGAAUUGCUAAAUACUGCUAUUGAUUAUAUGAUAUCACAUCUGCGAUGCGCCUGAUAUUACAGAUGUUUCUGGACAGCGGUGAUCACUUACCAUCAGGUGAACCACUUGCUCAUUUACCGUCCCAUGCCAGAAAACAUACUGAGCCUGAUGACAACUAAUAACGAUGGUGGAAACGGGAAAUAUUCUUGUCAAAACUCAGUCGACAAGGACGAAAAAAUCUAGUUACCCUAUCAGUCUAGUGUAUAGUACAUACGUUCACACUGUGCCGGCGGCGGUUGAAAGGCCCAGGCUUGAGUGCCUUGUGCCUCAAAGAGUUUUUCAUACGAAAAUAUCGACAUGGAAUAAUCCUGGUUUGAGACGUGUGGUUCUAUAUUAAUCUAUUCUGAUAUUCGUAUUGUACGCGUACUUAUUGACAUAGCAAGUUUACCUUAAGUAGAGCUUCGUAUAAAAAUCAUCUGCAUGGGUACCCAAUUCUUAUCUAACCAAACAGCAGUGCUUGCAUUGUUGUGU